rnacentral:tRNA from 1 species
GCCGCCUUAGCUCAGCUGGUAGAGCAACUGUUUUGUAAACAGUAGGUCUUCGGUUCGAAUCCGAAAGGCGGCU